AGCCAAAAAUAAAUAAUUAAAAACAAAAACAGGAGCCACACUCAGGUGACUAAUCUCUACGGCUCUUCUUUGGCUUCCACUGCAAUCUUGCUUUUUGGCUCUUGCAUCUGGACUUGGCCUUUCCUGGUGAACAUGCCUUCCUGGUCUGUUACGUUUUGCCUUCCCAGCUUCUGUUUCCCAAGCGUGCCAACUGUCCAUCCCAAAGUAACCAUGACUUACCUCCUUUCUCUUUGCCCCUCUUCAUCUUUUUUUUUUUUUUUUUUUUUGACGCAUGGGCCAUGACAGAAGUCUGCUGAAGUGAAGGGGAGUUGAGGAGGGACUCACUCUUUGUGGCCAAGUGGGUAGAGCUUGAGGAGAACUGGGAAGAUGUCCAUUAACCCAAUGUAGUAGAAAGGAAAUGCGACAGAUUUUAAAACAUUGCCAAGCAGUGUAAGCCUCCAGGCAAAGUCUGACAACUAAAUUUGUAGUGGGCUCUAAUGAGAUGGUUCUUAAUUUAUCAUGUGGGGAAAAGACUGGAGGAAGCAGACAAAAUGAUCCAGAAAAUCCCUUGUAUAUACAAACAUGAAAAAAAGUCACCAAAAUGUUAAUGUUAUCCCAGAAGUGAGAUUUCAGGUAUUUUGCUUUCUCCUUUAUACUUUUAUAUAGAGUUUAAUUUUUUCAAUAGGCAGUUAUUGUAUAUAAUGAGGAAAAUAAGUUAUUUCUGUUGAGAGACAGGAAAGAAGAGUCUAUUAAAAGAGGAAGAGGGGGAAAAGUGACCCAAGACUUGGAUUAGGCACAAUGAGUAUUUUAAGGCAUCAAAGAUGGGGGGAAAAAUGAAAAUGGGAUGAAGGUAGCACUGUACACUGAAUAUGCAAUAAAAUAUCAGCAAGAGAGCUGAUAGACUGAAAAAAUUGAAAGACUGACCGCCUCAGGCAGGACAGCCAGUAGGCUAAUAAAACAUUUAUUAAACUUUAAAAAAGACUUAUUUUUCAGCCAUCACUCAACUUUUUGGCCUGACACCUUUGUGCAGUGCACAACCUCCACAAAAAAAGUCUUGAUCCAUCACCCUGACUGGGGACAUGACUGGAAUAAAACUGGAAUUCUGUGCACAAGGAAGAAGGGAAGAGAUACUGGAUGCAUGCUGUGAUGGCAGAGCUGGACAAGUUGGAGGCAGCAUCUUGGUCCACGACAACUCGACCGAAGGUUUCAGAGGAAGCCCAUGUGACAUGUGACUUCGUCUAGAAAGGCUUCCUUGCGUUUCCGACAGAGGCCCAUCUUCACCUGUCUGAACUCUUGUAGCACUCAGAGCUCAGCUUUAAACUGCACUAUGUCACGUGGAGAUGAUCAGGUCAUGAGGCAUUUCUUCCAACAGAUUUAUUGCACAUCUAAUUCCAUCUGAGUGUGUGCUUCUUGGAGAUCCUGCAGCAACCUAGGAGUCAUCAAUAUAUGUGCAUGCUAAGUCGAUUCAGUCAUGUCCGACUCUUUAUGACCCCAUACACAGCUUGCUAGGCUCCUCUGUCGUGGAAUUCUCCAGGCAAGAAUACUGGAGUGGGUUGCCACUUCCUUCUCCAAUAUAUAGGUAAGUAAUUAUUAAAAGAAUGGGAGUGAAUUAGACAUAUCUUGGAGAACCUACAGAAUGAGGGGUAAAAAAAAUCAUUGAAAUGUUAAAAUGAAGGUAAGGGUUACGGAGAAUACAAACCUUCAGGUAGUGAUAAGAGGGGCUCUGGGGCUAGGCUGCCUGGGUUUGAAUAAGGCUAGGAAAUGGCAGCCCACUCCAGUAUUCUCACCUGGGAAAUCCGUGGACAGAGGAGCCUAGCAGGCUACAGGCCAUGGGGUCGCAAAGAAUAGGACAUGACUCAGUGACUAAACAAGAACAAAAACAGUGCCCACUUAUUAUUAGCAUGACCCUCUAGGCAGAUUGCUUAGCCCUUCUAAGCUCCUCUUUCCUUGUGUGUAAAAGGAGAGGGGGGAUAUUCAUACUUGUUAAAGGUUUGUUGUGAAAGUAGUUAGAAAACUACCUUCAUAUAUUGAGGUCUCUGUAAAAGUUGUUACCCUAUAUUGGAAUAGAAUCUGAAUAAAAAUGGAAAUAUAUAUAACUUAAUCACUAUGAUGUAUACCUGAAACUAACACAACAUUGUAAAUCAACUACCCUCCAAUAAAAGUUAAAAAAAAAACCCAAAACUGGUUAUU